AGAGUUUGAUCCUGGCUCAGAUUGAACGCUGGCGGCAUGCCUUACACAUGCAAGUCGAACGGUAACAGCACUUCGGUGGCUGACGAGUGGCGAACGGGUGAGUAAUACAUCGGAACGUGCCCGAGAGUGGGGGAUAACGCAGCGAAAGCUGUGCUAAUACCGCAUACGAUCUACGGAUGAAAGCAGGGGACCGCAAGGCCUUGCGCUCAUGGAGCGGCCGAUGGCAGAUUAGGUAGUUGGUGGGAUAAAAGCUUACCAAGCCGACGAUCUGUAGCUGGUCUGAGAGGACGACCAGCCACACUGGGACUGAGACACGGCCCAGACUCCUACGGGAGGCAGCAGUGGGGAAUUUUGGACAAUGGGCGAAAGCCUGAUCCAGCCAUGCCGCGUGCAGGAUGAAGGCCUUCGGGUUGUAAACUGCUUUUGUACGGAACGAAAAGGUCUUUUCUAAUAAAG
rnacentral:rRNA from 1 species